rnacentral:rRNA from 1 species
GGUGGUCAUCUAACCACCCUGAACAUGCCCGAUCUUAUCUGAUCUCAGAAGCUAAGCAGGGUCGGGCCUGAUUAGUACUUGGAUGGGAGGAAUAACAGGAGGUCAGAGUUG